rnacentral:sRNA from 1 species
GUCGCAGGUUCGAAUCCUGCACGACCCACCAAUUUCAGCAUUUAACUCAGAUGCUGAACGUGAAGGAUAACGUUGCGUCAGCAACGGCCCGAAGGGCGAGGCAAAGCCGAGCCAUCCUGCACGACCUACCA